rnacentral:lncRNA from 1 species
GUGAGGAUAACUCACCUGCAAUUUCCGACUGAAGAGAUAAGACCAAGCUGCUCCGACCACUGACAUGAUCCUCACCACAGAACACUACCAAAUAACCAAUUCCAUAAAUACCAAAAUUACCAAAAUACCCUUGGGAGUUAAACUGGUCAACUCUUGCUCAAAGUCAAAGUCCUUAGUCAAAGUCAACCUUUCUGGUUGACUCUACUCGUCGAGUCGCCCCAAAACUUGCCAAGUCCAAAGAUCUCUAUGUCCCAUCCUGUCUAACUUACUAAGUCGCCAACCGACUCACUUAAUCCAAGGCUUUAACCAAAAGAGGUUGGGUUCUGCGACCAGACUCGCCAAGUUCCAAGACAAUCUUCAACAUACUCACCGAGUCCAUGCUUAUGUUCAUACAACUCGUCGAGUACACCCAUGUGACUCACCGAGUCCAUGCUUAUGUUCAUACAACUCGUCGAGCCAUGUAGGGCUCCAAACCAUAUAUCCACUCUUCUACAACCCAAUCCUCACAUAAAGUUGCAAACUUUACGUGAGACCAAGGAGAUAUAGGCUCAAAACACACUAUGACUAGGUUUAAGGAAUAACGGGCUUCACCAACAACUCUUAAACAGAAACUUUAUGACAUUAUGGACCAUCACAAGCCUAGAUAUGGAGUAGCAACCUCAGAUCUAAAUUACAAACCCGAAAUAGAUCUCAAACAAGCUAAGGAACUCCCAAAACAACCACCAAGGAUGAACCAAAAAGGAAAUAGCUUAAGACAAUGCUUCUUACCUCUGAGAUGUGCCCAAACUGAUGUAGAUCCCAGAUCUAUUCAAGCCCCUUGAUGCUAGCUUCUAAUUCCUCAAGCUCCUUCCACCAAACUCCUCUUUCAAGCUCCAAUCUCCUCAACAAUGAAGCCUCACACGAAAUUAGGGUUUUCUGGAACUCUUUGAGGCAAUAAGAGGAUGGGAGAAGGACAUAAAGUCCUUUAAAUAGGUUGAAAACCCUAAGAUUAGGGUUUUUCUUAUUCUAGCACCAACUCGUCAAGUCCAGCUUCCGACUCGGCGAGUUGGUCACGUAAUUCGCGACCCAAACCCCCUCCGACUCGGCGAGUAAGCGUACCUACUCGUUGAGUCCCUUCUUCGAAAUUACACUUUACACCCUUAAAUUAUACUUCUGAAAUUCGGAAUGUUACAAUUCUCCCCCAGUUAAAUUAAGCUUCAUCCUCGAAGCCCGCGGCAACACAAACUUCCAGGUGAUACUCCCACAAUGCAUCCACUGAUCUCAACCGACCCAGAUUCCUUCAAACACUACUAUCGAAUCCAUAAAAUCCAUCUCUUCUCUUUUAGGGUCCUGAUAAACACUUCGAUUCGGCCACCGGCCUCUAUCUCUGAUAACAACACUCAUUAACUAUGUGCCACUAGAAGACACUACCUUACUUCCGCUUUACACAUUCAUUCGCCACCUGCGAAAACUGGAUACCAUUCUAAACCAUCGGGUCUUGACCCGGUAUUAUCUCGCUAUUUCUCAACCAUCUGGCGCCACUUCUCUCAACUCGCACCGAUGGAAACUCAUCCGUUUCCUCCCUGGAUCAAAUCCUUUACCGUGCUGAUAUAAUGGAUCAUUUCCCAGCUCCCGAGCUACCCUCCUGAACAACCAGCUAUAACGUUCAUACACAUCGCACCUGGACCAAUCAGCCUUGGGUUGCAUGUCACACCCCCAUUCGGGGGUGGGUGACUUCACGAAGUACCAUAACAAUUGAAUAUCGUAAAGAAAGUAACACAACCAUCAUAUAUAUAAUAAAAAAAACGUACAUCGUUGCGUUUUACAUGUUACCAAAAGAAUAUUACAAUAAGAUGGUUUUAAAUGUUUGACAAUAAAUGUCACAGUGUUCCUUCAUCAAAAGCUUGAUAGUUACCUGUAUUACUGAUUCCCUGAGAAAUACAAGUGGUUUUGAAAAGAGUGUCAACAAUAAAGUUGGUGAGUUAAUAAGUUGUUUUGUAUUGAAAAGUAUGUCAUUUUGAAAAAAAUGUAGAUAAACGUAGUUCCAGAAAAUCCAAUAUUUUCCACAUUUUGCUCGAAAGGUUUCCAAAAUUGGAGUGCGUUAGUAUUUUUCGUACUUGAAUGAUAAAGAUAAACUUCGUGCUCAAAAUAAUGUAAAAUACUGCAUACAUAUAUAAGUCUCUUAAAUCAAUCUUGUUUUUAUACUUUCUUGUGAGUUUUAUAACCAUACUAUUGACACAGACUGCCUGUAACAACAUUCUUCAAGUGUUGUAGUGUUAUGACAUUUGUCACCCUAGACUUGCCGGUCUAACUAUAGCUAACAGUUUAGGUGCGGGGUUGUCAAUCCCAUAUAGAUCUAUACACAAGUAUCACGCUCUCCCUCCAAGAGAUUAUGCUUUAUAACACAGGACUUGAAACGCAUACUCAAGAGUACGUUGAAGUUGAAUAUCUCACAUUACUUAGUAUAAAAUAGAUUUACGAUAGCAAAGUCUUUAUUUCGCUUCAGAUGAAAGUAUUUCGUUUUUCCAAUGUGUAUAUGCAAAAUGUAUGAAUAACUCGCAAACUAUACCCAUUAAAGUUCUUCUAAAAAUGUAUUCCAUUUGUUUGAAAUUAACUUGGUGAAAUACUAACCGUAUUCGUAAAGUAAAAUGGUGAUAUCGAAUAAUGAUAAGAUAGCAGUUGUAUUUAUAUUUAUAUAAAUUGAUGCGUUUUUCUUGUAUUAUGCUUGUAUUUGCCCCCCUAAAACAUGAAAAGACUUGAAAAGUAUGGGUAUGAACUCACUUGUUUGGUUUUGAAGAGAGAGAGAGAGAGAGAGAGAGAGUCUACAGUCGGGCAGAACUUCAACCGUGGAAUGUUGCGUCUCCGAGCUUCUCGGGGAUCUCGGUGGUGUAGAACCUUCGUUGGUGCUUGGGUGCGUAAAUCGAGGGUGUCGGGAUGGCUUCUGGUGCUUGCAAAUGUGUGAGAGUAAAGGUGAGUUUGAGAGUGUGUGCCUAAAAUCCGGAGCUUAUGCCUUCUAUUUAUAGAGCUGGAAGGACGAGUACAUUGGGCAUACCACUGGAGUACGCUGGGCGUACUGCGGUUACGCUGGGCGUAACUUCGCGUCAUGGUUUACGACUCCGGUCUAGCUAGGCGUAGAGCUGCAGCCGAUGGGACUCGACCCUGCACCUGAGUACGCUGGGCGUAAUCCUGGCUUCUGUCUUCUAAAUUCCGAAACUUUCACGUACGGGCUCCAUUUUUUGCGUUCUUUAUAUCCACGCGUAGGUGAGAUUAUGCUCUACAACUUUCAUUUAGACUCCGUUGGCUAGUUUUUAAUUUAUUUUUAAUGAUAUGUUUUUAAUAGGACGGGACUGCUAAAGUUCGCUAAAAAUUCAUAGUUUCUUUAUUUGACGUCGGUUUUCGUUUGUCUUUUUAUCAUCUUACUCUUAUUGUGGACAGCUUCAACUCUCGUUUAGUUGCGUUAGCUAAAUAUCGUUCGAUCUUCAAUUCGAGUUUUUAGCUCUCUAUUACCGUUACGAAACUUUGAAAAUUCGUAACUUCUUCAUACAAAGUCCAUUUUGGGCGAUCUUUUUAUGCACGCUCAUCAUUUAUCAAAAUCUACGACUUUUGUUUAGAUACUUAAGGCUAAAAUGCAUUUUAUUGAAAUUUCACUUUUUACGUUAAAUAGUGUUUUUACCGGGUGUGUCAUAAAUAUUUUAGUGGUUAUAGUUUCUUCAAUAUAACUCGGUUUCGAAAGUUCUUUAUGUUUUUGGAAACCUUGGCACGAUAUCUAACAUUUGAUGCAUCCCAAUUUAGAUAUUUGAACACUUUAUUUUUUGAGGUUAAUUUCGUUGAUUCCAAAUAGCUUUCGUUGUACUUGACUUUCGAGUGUUACAUUGCUUUUUAAAAAAAUAUAGGAUUGUCACACUGGAAAACCAGGCACGCCUACGAUGGUCAAACCAUCCCUAGGAUGAAUGUAACAUCCAUAAAAAUUCACACCAAAUUUAAACUUUUUCAAUCAUAAAUAAAAACCACAUAGCAUUGUUUACAAAAUGUAUUCAAAUCAUUUUUCCAUCAGAGUGUCCCAAAAAUCAUAACAUAAGGAUGAGGAGCAAUACGGUCACGCCUUCAUCUUUCCAUGAUCUCAUGAAGUACUUGAAACAGUAAACUGAAAACUGUAAGCCGAAGGGCUUAGUGAGCUACCCCCAAAAUACCAACACCACACUGACAAUACCGUAACAGUAAUAAUCAAUCAAUCAACAUGCAUACUGGGCCACCGGCCUGACUGGACCGCCCUAUCGGGCCUACAGUCUGUCUGGAUCUAUCCCGAGCCUUCGGCAUGACUGGUCCGCCACGUGGUCCUACAGUCUCCCCGAACCGCUCAUAGGGUAUGUUGGCCUUCAGCACAAAGCAGGACCGCCUCAACCCAACCAACAAGCAAAUAACCAUGUCCGCAUAGCUAUCAUAUACUGGCGUAUACAAACAUCAAACAUAUCUAUCUCAUUGAUCACAAUCAUAGAAUUCUCCUAUAACUAGAGUACCGACCUAGCAGGUCACUAACACACCAAUCCCUACGGAUCAUAAAAGCAUAGCAUAUUGUCUACCUCGAUUCUGAACUAACAAAUAAUAACCACGUGCAACAUACCAUAACAAUAACAACUAAAGGGCCGACCUUCGUGCCGUAGACCCUAUCGAUAUAGUGAGGAUAACUCACCUCGCAGAUGUCAACACAGAAAGUAAACUCCAACUCUCGGAUCACUCGACACAGGCCCCACCACCUAUAACCAUAGUUCAAUAUUCGCAUAAGUAUUUAUCCUUAUAAGGUACUCCAUAACCCAAUAGUCAAUCCCAGAUCAAGGUCAAAGUCCUCAUUCAAGGUCAACAUUCCCUGUUGACCUCAACUCGCCG